rnacentral:tRNA from 1 species
AGCCCCGUGGUGUAGUGGUCAAGCAUUCGAGCCUUUGGAGCUCGAGACGGAGGUUCGAAUCCUCCUGGGGCUA